rnacentral:rRNA from 1 species
CAAGUCGAACGCGAAAGUUCCCUUCGGGGAACAAGUAGAGUGGCGCACGGGUGAGUAACACGUAGGUAAUCUACCUUUGGAUUGGGAAUAACACCGAGAAAUCGGUGCUAAUACCGAAUAAUGCAGCGGCACCUAAUGGUGACAGUUGUUAAAGCGGGGGAUCGCAAGACCUCGCGUCUAAAGAGGAGCCUGCGGCGGAUUAGCUAGUUGGUAAGGUAACGGCUUACCAAGGCGAUGAUCCGUAGCCGGCCUGAGAGGGCGGUCGGCCACACUGACACUGACAUACGGGUCAGACUCCUACGGGAGGCAGCAGUCGGGAAUUUUGGGCAAUGGGCGAAAGCCUGACCCAGCAACGCCGCGUGAAGGAUGAAAUCCCUCGGGAUGUAAACUUCGCAAGAACGGGAAGAAUAAGUCGGUGCUAACACCAUCGGCGAUGACGGUACUGUUUGUAAGCUCCGGCUAACUCCGUGCCAGCAGCCGCGGUAAUACGGGGGGAGCAAGCGUUGUUCGGAUUUACUGGGCGUAAAGGGCGCGUAGGCGGCCACCGCAAGUCGACUGUGAAAUCUCCGGGCUUAACUCGGAAAGGUCAGCCGAUACUGCGGGGCUAGAGUGCAGAAGGGGCAACUGGAAUUCUCGGUGUAGCGGUGAAAUGCGUAGAUAUCGAGAGGAACACCUGCGGCGAANGCGGGUUGCUGGGCUGACACUGACGCUGAUUGUGCGGAAGCUAGGGGAGCGAACGGNAUUAGAUACCCCGGUAGUCCUAGCCUUAAACGAUGAAUGCUUGGUGUCUGGGGUUUUAUAGUCCCCGGGUGCCGUCGCUAACGCUUUAAGCAUUCCGCCUGGGGAGUACGGUCGCAAGACUGAAACUCAAAGGAAU